rnacentral:lncRNA from 1 species
GUUUAAGAUAAUUUGAAGUUAUUUGAGAUCCUGUGAAGGCCUGUCUACUUCUGCUUCAUCUUCUUCUUAGGGCAUAACCUAAAGUGAGAAGAAUUUUCCAGCAGCAACACUGCCGCUCGCCUACCCAGCAGGCCCUGGACUCCAAGGCCCAUCCCUCUAAUUCUGAGAGAUUGUCAGAAUUCUCAGUCAGCUUCUCAGUGAUCCCUUGAAGGAUAGGCUCAUGCUACGAGGAAAAAAGCAACUCCCAACUUCAGUUCUACAUCAUUCCUCAGAUCCUGGUCUAUAAAUUUUCACUACCUUGUUAGCUCUCCAUUGCCAUCAGAUAGUUUUUAAUAUCUCGUGUAAUUGUUCUAGCUGUCCUCUGGAAGAUUUGUCCAAAGCGUUUGAUAUUAUUGGAGGCAGAAAUUCCAAACUGAAAAUGUUUAUGCAAGCUUGCCAAGGCAUGACAUUACCAUUAUCAAUAAUUAAUAACAACAAUAAUAAUGAUAAUAGUGAAACCCACCAACUUCUGAAGUUACCUGGAAGAUAACGACACACAGGAAGGAAGACAGUAAGCCUCACAUCUGAGCCACAGCUGCAGACUUAUUUUGAAGCCUUCCUUGUUGUGUCUCCCUGUUUUUUCAUCACAUCUUUUCUGCAUUAUUUUCAUUGUUUCAAAUCCAUAGUUAAUAUUUUCAUCCACCAUGCUAUUAUUUUUGAAUCAUCUUUUCACUUUGAUCAUCUUUAAUCCCCUAAGUUUGAAAUGGUAAAAAUGGAAAUGGACAGGUGGUCUCCUUCCCAUCACCAACCAUGCCUGCCCUGUUUCCUUCUGUUAGAAGCACCACUUCCCCUCUCAAGUGCCCUGGGUCCCAAUUUUUCUCUUUGAUCAUAGGGAACACCAUUGUCUACCCCCAGCCAGUAUGGCUUUCCUGAAGCAGGAGCCACUUCCCAUCAAUGCUAGCUGAAGCCAUAGGAUGGACCACAGCACUGGGAGAGACUACGGAAGUCACGGUAUGGGAUUAUCUCAUCCAAUAAUUAAGGAAACACAUCUGGAAAGGUUAAGAAUAAGAUGUCAUUUCUUACACAGUUGCACUUGGGGGAUGUUUCCAUAUAUUUCAAGACCUGAUAGACACUUCAGGCUCCCAUGGAAGAAUAUUUUUGAGAAGCAAUUGAAGUUCCUCCCAGGUUGCUCAUUUCUCAAGUAUGUGGAGAGUAAAUCCUGUUUCAUCGGGUUCCAGAGGAAGCAUUCGGAGGGAGUUCAUAGCAAAGCUUCCUGUCUGUUGAAAUGACUUCCCAGUGGCAGAAGCUGUAUUGUGGGUUUUGUUGCCACGUCAUCUCUUGGGCACCAUGGCUCUGGCGCUGGCUUUCUGUUGGUACCAGUGGCCCUGGCACAAGGUCUGUGAAGGAGCCUGGCACUUCAGUCCCCUCCUUGAUCCCCGGGAGGCAUUUAGGGUCCAUGUUUUCUGUUGCUUCA